rnacentral:tRNA from 1 species
CACCCCAUAGUCGAGUGGUAAGACGACAGGUUGCAACCCUGUAGGUUUCGGUUCAAUUCCGAAUGGGGUGU